GUUUUGGUCCUAAACUUGCCCUUGUUUUUUACCAAAAUUAUACAUGCAAGCCUCCACACACCAGUGAGAAUGCCCAUAAACCCCUAAACAGCCAACCGGAGCAGGCAUCAGGAUACAACACGUAUUUAGCCAAGGACGCCUUGCACUUGCCACACCCACACGGGCUUCCAGCAGUAACUAACAUUAAGAAAUGAGCGAAAGCUCGACUUAGUUAUGGUACACAUGGUCGGUAAAUUUCGUGCCAGCCACCGCGGUUAUACGAAAGACCAAAAACAACGGCCCACGGCGUAAAGCGUGACUAGAGAUUAAUAUACUUAGAGAAGAAUGGCCGCCAAGUAGUAAAACACCCACGCACGCCAGAACCACAACAACCGCCUCUAAUAUUACUUUACCUCACGAAAGCUAAGAGACAAACUGGGAUUAGAUACCCCACUAUGCUUAGCCCUAACCAUAAACAGUAAAAACACAAUACUGUUCGCCAGAGAACUACAAACGAAAAGCUUAAAACUCUAAGGACUUGGCGGUGCUUCAAACCAACCUAGAGGAGCCUGUCCUAUAAUCGAUACCCCACGAUCCACCUUACCUCUCCUAGCCAAACAGCCUAUAUACCGCCGUCGUCAGCCUACCUUAUGAAAGAAGUAAAGUAAGCAAAAAAGUCAAUGACUAACACGUCAGGUCAAGGUGUAGCACACGAAGAGGCAGAGAUGGGCUACAUUUUCUCAUAAGCGAAAAUACGAAUGGUGAACUGAAACACACACCUGAAGGCGGAUUUAGCAGUAAAACAACCAAGAAUAGUUGUUUUAAACCUGCUCUGAAGCGCGCACACACCGCCCGUCACCCUCAUCCCAUGUCCUAAACAUAAAUUACAACAAGCACUGC
rnacentral:ncRNA from 1 species